UCCGAUUUGUCACCGGCAGUCUCCCAUGAGUCCCCGACAUAACUCGCUGGCAACAUGGGACAAGGGUUGCGCUCGUUGCGGGACUUAACCCAACAUCUCACGACACGAGCUGACGACAGCCAUGCAGCACCUGUGUUCCCGUUCCCUUUCGGGCACACCCGGCUUUCACCGGGCUCCAGGACAUGUCAAGGGUAGGUAAGGUUUUUCGCGUUGCAUCGAAUUAAUCCACAUAAUCCACCGCUUGUGCGGGUCCCCGUCAAUUCCUUUGAGUUUUAGCCUUGCGGCCGUACUCCCCAGGCAGGGCACUUAAUGCGUUAGCUGCGGCACCGGAGGGGUCGAUACCCGCAACACCAAGCGCCCAUCGUUUACAGCUAGGACUAC
rnacentral:misc_RNA from 1 species